AACUUUCAACAACGGAUCUCUUGGUUCUGGCAUCGAUGAAGAACGCAGCGAAAUGCGAUAAGUAAUGUGAAUUGCAGAAUUCAGUGAAUCAUCGAAUCUUUGAACGCACAUUGCGCUCCCUGGUAUUCCGGGGAGCAUGCCUGUUCGAGCGUCA
rnacentral:rRNA from 2 species